UACUGCAUGUGAUGGGUCUCGAGAAGACAACCUAACGGUUUUCUUCUCGACGCAAUUUUGAGCAAAAGCUCAAUCCGAAGUAUCGGACCAUUGCUACUCUUCUUUCCUUAAAAAAGGAGGGGAGUAGCGAACGAAAUCGGAAAGAUCAAGCUUUGCUUGGUGAGCGUCGAGGGGAACCUUUGGGGUGCCCUCUCGAGAUUCAUUAAAGCUCCUAACCGAGCGCUUUAAGAUGAGCCUGCGUCCUAUCAGCUUGUUGGUGAGGUAAUGGCUUACCAAGGCUACGACGGGUACCCCAGGUGAGAGCCUUUUGGGGCACAAUGGAACUGAGAUACGGUCCAUACAUCUACGGAUGGCAGCAACUAGGAAUCUUCCGCAAUGGACGAAAGUCUGACGGAGCGACGCCGCGUGAGGGAUGACGGCCUUAGGGUUGUAAACCUCUUUUAUCAGGGACGAAUAAAAUGACGGUACCUGAUGAAUAAGCACCUGCCAACUACGUGCCAGCAGCAGCGGUGAUACGUAGGGUGCAAGCGUUAUCCGGAAUUACUGGGCGUAAAGAGUUGCGUAGGCGGAUUACCACGUCCAAACCUCCAACUUCACUCUCAAGGUGAAGAUCGGUUUGGAUACGAGUAGUCUUGUGGUAGAGAGAGGGUACUGGAAUUUAUGGUGAAGCAGUGAAAUGCGUUGAUAUCAUAAAGACCCCCGAUGGCGAAGGCAGGUACCUGGCUCUAUUCAGACGCUGAGGCACGAAAGCUAGGGGAGCGAAGCGGAUUAGAGACCCGCGUAGUCCUAGCCGUAAACGAUGGACACUAGCUGGAUUGAUUUUUCGAUCUGGCGCAAGCUAACGCGUUAAGUGUCCCGCCUGGGGAGUACGGUCGCAAGACUAAAACUCAAAGGAAUUGACGGGGGACCGCACAAGCGGUGGAGCAUGUGGUUUAAUUCGAUAUGAAGCGAAAAACCUUACCUGGGUUUGACAUACUAGCGUUCUAUUUUCUGGAAACAGAAGAAAUCCGCAAGGAGGCUAGCACAGGUGCUGCAUGGCUGUCGUCAGCUCGUACCGUGAAGCGUACCCUUAAGUGGGUCAACGAGCGCAACCCUUACCGUUUGUUGAAUAUUCAAACGGAACUGCCCCUUUUGGGGGAGGAAGGCGAGGAAGACGUCAAGUCAGCACGGCCCUUA
rnacentral:rRNA from 1 species